UUGGGGUUGCGGACAUAUCAUAACGAAGAGGUAUCGUAAUUGAAGAGGUUUGGAAAGACCCACCACAGAAGGUAAUAGUCCUGUAUGUUAAACGAGAAGACUUUAGAUAUGAUCCAGAGUACCACGGGACACGUGAAACCCUGUGGGAAGCAGGAGGGACCACCCUCCAAGGCUAAAUACUACCUAGUGACCGAUAGCGUAUAGUACCGUGAGGGAAAGGUGAAAAGAACCCCGGGAGGGGAGUGAAAUAGAACCUGAAACCCUGCACUUACAAGCUGUGGAAGCACAUUUCUUGUGUGACCGCGUACUUUUUGUAGAACGGGCCAACGAGUUACGUUAAGUAGCAAGGUUAAGCACUUAAGGUGUGGAGCCGUAGCGAAAGCGAGUUUUAACUGAGCGUUCAGUUAAUGGACGUAGACCCGAAACCGGGCGACCGACCAAUGGGCAGGAUGAAGAGAAAGUAAAAUUUCGUGGAGGUCCGAACCCACGGGCGUUGAAAAGCUCGGGGAUGACUUGUGGGUAGCGGUGAAAUUCCAAUCGAGCCCGGAGAUAGCUGGUUCUCCCCGAAAUAGCUUUAGGGCUAGCCUCAAGGUGAGAGAUACGGAGGUAGAGCACUGAAUGUCCUAGGGGGUAUUGCACCUACCGAAGACUAUCAAACUCCGAAUGCCGUCAUCUUAUACUUGGGAGUCAGACUGUGGGUGAUAAGAUUCAUAGUCGAAAGGGCAACAGCCCAGAUCGUCAGCUAAGGUCCCUAAAUGUAAGUUAAGUGGUAAAGGAUGUGGGAUUGCACAGACAACCAGGAUGUUGGCUUAGAAGCAGCCACUCAUUCAAAGAGUGCGUAAUAGCUCACUGGUCGAGUGAUCCUGCGCCGAAGAUUUCCGGGGCUAAAACUUACUACCGAAGCUACGGCAUCAGUAAUGA
rnacentral:rRNA from 1 species